GAUGAACGCUAGCGGCAGGCCUAAUACAUGCAAGUCGAGGGGCAAUCCCGAUUUAUCGGGACUAGACCGGCGGACGGGUGCGUAACGCGUAUGCAACCUGCCCACUACAGGGGGACAGCCCGUGGAAACAUGGAUUAAUACCCCAUAAAGCAGGGGCCACACAUGUGGCUAUUGCUAAAGCCGAGGCGGUAGUGGAUGGGCAUGCGUCUGAUUAGCUGGUUGGCGGGGUAACGGCCCACCAAGGCGAUGAUCAGUAGGGGGUCUGAGAGGAUGAUCCCCCACACUGGCACUGAGAUACGGGCCAGACUCCUACGGGAGGCAGCAGUAGGGAAUAUUGGUCAAUGGGCGAUAGCCUGAACCAGCCAUGCCGCGUGCAGGAAGACGGCCUUCUGGGUUGUAAACUGCUUUUGGACGGGGGUAAAAGGGCCAUGCGUGGCCGCUUGCAAGUACCGUUCGAAUAAGCACCGGCUAACUCCGUGCCAGCAGCCGCGGUAAUACGGA
rnacentral:rRNA from 1 species